rnacentral:tRNA from 1 species
CCUCCUGUAGCUCAGUGGCAGAGCAGCGGCCCGAUAAGCCGCCGAUACACGUUCGAUCCGUGUCCGACGGUCCGUGUCGGGCGUACCA